rnacentral:rRNA from 1 species
GAGUAGCACGUGAGCAACCUGCCCCGAAGACCGGGACAACACCGGGAAACCGGUGCUAAUACCGGAUGUCCCCACCGUGUCGCAUGGCGUGGUGAGGAAAUGGAUUCCGCCUCGGGAGGGGCUCGCGGCCUAUCAGCUUGUUGGUGAGGUAACGGCUCACCAAGGCUUCGACGGGUAGCUGGUCUGAGAGGACGAUCAGCCACACUGGGACUGAGACACGGCCCAGACUCCUACGGGAGGCAGCAGUGGGGAAUCUUGCACAAUGGGCGAAAGCCUGAUGCAGCAACGCCGCGUGAGGGACGAAGGCUUUCUGAGUUGUAACCUCUUUCGCAGGGACGAUGAUGACGGUACCUGCAGAAGAAGCCCCGGCCAACUACGUGCCAGCAGCCGCGGUAAUACGUAGGGGGCAAGCGUUGUCCGGAUUUAUUGGGCGUAAAGAGCUCGUAGGCGGCUUGGCAAGUCGGAUGUGAAACCUCCAGGCUUCACCUGGAGUCGCCAUUCGAUACUGCCAUGGCUAGAGUUUGGUAGGGGACCACGGAAUUCCUGGUGUAGCGGUGAAAUGCGCAGAUAUCAGGAGGAACACCAGCGGCGAAGGCGGUGGUCUGGGCCAAUACUGACGCUGAGGAGCGAAAGCGUGGGGAGCGAACAGGAUUAGAU